rnacentral:rRNA from 1 species
UGGGGAAUAUUGCGCAAUGGCCGAAAGGCUGACGCAGCGACGCCGCGUGGGGGAUGAAGCAUUUCGGUGUGUAAACCCCUGUUGCCCGGGACGAACAGCCCUUUUCGAGGGGCCUGACGGUACCGGGUGAGGAAGCACCGGCUAACUCUGUGCCAGCAGCCGCGGUAAUACAGAGGGUGCGAGCGUUGUCCGGAAUCACUGGGCGUAAAGGGCGCGUAGGUGGCUCGCUAAGCGUGCGGUGAAAGCCCGGGGCUCAACCCCGGGUCGGCCGUGCGAACUGGGGAGCUCGAGCACUGUAGAGGCGGGUGGAAUUCCGGGUGUAGCGGUGGAAUGCGUAGAGAUCCGGAAGAACACCGGUGGCGAAGGCGGCCCGCUGGGCAGUGGCUGACACUGAGGCGCGACAGCGUGGGGAGCAAACAGGAUUAGAUACCCUGGUAGUCCACGCCGUAAACGAUGGGCACUAGGUGCUUGGGGGAGCGACCCUCCGAGUGCCGGCGCUAACGCAUUAAGUGCCCCGCCUGGGGAGUAC